UUCUGCGGUGAAGCCGAUUACAGAAUAAGGUGAGAGAAGGUAGUAUCUCACCCCUUACAAGUGACACACAUGUCAAGACAAAUAAGCAGAUUGAGCCCAAGGCAGUGUGGAGCUCGAUAGAGGUGGCACUCCUCAAGUAAUUAAUGGUCGAGAAGGGCGGUACACCUGGCUUCUAAAGUGAGGCCGAUUACAGAAUAAGGUGAGAGAAGGUAGUAUCUCACCCCUUACAAGUGACACACAUGUCAAGACAAAUAAGCAGAUUGAGCCCAAGGCAGUGCUGGAGCUCGAUAGAGGUGGCACUCCUCAAGUAAUUAAUGGUCGAGAAGGGCGGUACACCUGGCUUCUAAAGUGAGGCCGAUUACAGAAUAAGGUGAGAGAAGGUAGUAUCUCACCCCUUACAAGUGACACACAUGUCAAGA